GAACGCACCUUGCGCCCUUUGGCUAUUCUGAAGGGCAUGCCUGUUUGAGUAUCAUGAACACCUCAACUCUCAUGGUCCGCCAUGACGAGCUUGGACUUUGGGGGUCUUGUUGGCCUGUGAGCCAGCUCCUCUUAAAUGAAUUAGCUUGCCGGUGUUUGGUGGCGUCACAGGUGUGAUAACUAUCUACGCUUGUGGUUUUCCAUCAGAUAACCUUCAGUGAUGGAGGUUCACCGGGGCUUAUAAACGUCUCUCCUCGGUGAGGACAGAUUUUGACCGUUUGAUCUCAAAUCAGGUAGGACUACCCGCGGAACUUA
rnacentral:misc_RNA from 1 species